GUUGCGGUGUGGCUCAUCACCGGGCAUCUUGCGUGACGUUGGACUCUGCUAGCUGCCUAGUGAAGGGCAACAUCGGGGC
rfam:Zootermopsis nevadensis contig12959, whole genome shotgun sequence.